CAGCAGCCGCGGGAAUACGGAGGAUCCAAGCGUUAUCCGGAAUCAUUGGGUUUAAAGGGUCCGUAGGCGGUCUUGUAAGUCAGUGGUGAAAGCCCAUCGCUCAACGGUGGAACGGCCAUUGAUACUGCAGGACUUGAAUUAUUGGGAAGUAACUAGAAUAUGUAGUGUAGCGGUGAAAUGCUUAGAGAUUACAUGGAAUACCAAUUGCGAAGGCAGGUUACUACCAAUUGAUUGACGCUGAUGGACGAAAGCGUGGGUAGCGAACAGGAUUAGAUACCCCAGUAGUCCCUGUCCUUAUACA
rnacentral:rRNA from 1 species